GGGGUUAUAGCUCAGUUGGUAGAGCGCUUGAAUGGCAUUCAAGAGGUCAGGGGUUCAAUUCCCCUUAACUCCA
rnacentral:tRNA from 1 species